rnacentral:rRNA from 1 species
UCUUCGUAGGUGAACCUGCGUAGGGAUCAUUU